ensembl:misc_RNA
GGGAGCGCCUGUCUUUCCUGUUUUCUGGGCAUCCUCUGAGAUGAUUUAUUGGAGCUCAGAGUUUUGAG